GUAGGUGGCAAGCGUUGUCCGGAAUUAUUGGGCGUAAAGCGCGCGCAGGCGGUUCUUUAAGUCUGAUGUGAAAGCCCACGGCUCAACCGUGGAGGGUCAUUGGAAACUGGAGAACUUGAGUACAGAAGAGGAAAGCGGAAUUCCACGUAUAGCGGUGAAAUGCGUAGAGAUGUGGAGGAACACCAGUGGCGAAGGCGGCUUUCUGGUCUGUAACUGACGCUGAGGCGCGAAAGCGUGGGGAGCAAACAGGAUUAGAUACCCUGGUAGUCCACGCCGUAAACGAUGAGUGCUAAGUGUUAGGGGGUUUCCGCCCCCCUUAGUGCUGCAGCUAACGCAUUAAGCACUCCGCCUGGGAGUACGGCCGCAAGGCUG
rnacentral:rRNA from 1 species